rnacentral:rRNA from 1 species
GAUGAACGCUGGCGGCGUGCCUAAUACAUGCGAGUCGAGCGAAUGGAUUGAGAGCUUGCUCUUAUGAAGUUAGCGGCGGACGGGUGAGUAACACGUGGGUAACCUGCCCAUAAGACUGGGAUAACUCCGGGAAACCGGGGCUAAUACCGGAUAACAUUUUGAACCGCAUGGUUCGAAAUUGAAAGGCGGCUUCGGCUGUCACUUAUGGAUGGACCCGCGUCGCAUUAGCUAGUUGGUGAGGUAACGGCUAACCAAGGCAACGUUGCGUAGCCGACCUGAGAGGGUGGUCGGCCACACUGGGACUGAGACACGGCCCAGACUCCUACGGGGAGCAGCAGUAGGGAAUCUUCCGCAAUGGACGAAAGUCUGACGGAGCAACGCCGCGUGAGUGAUGAAGGCUUUCGGGUCGUAAAGCUCUGUUGUUAGGGAAGAACAAGUGCUAGUUGAAUAAGCUGGCACCUUGACGGUACCUAACCAGAAAGCCACGGCUAACUACGUGCCAGCAGCAGCCGCAG